rnacentral:lncRNA from 1 species
ACUCUAUCUCUCUCAAUCUAGUAGAAACUAGAAGAUCUAUUUCUACCAUACAUUGGUUGCUAAGCCUAAAAAGAAAUAUUAAUUAGAGAAGAGGUUUUCCUUCGAGGGCACCCCUCAAUCUCUAUGAUAAUUUCUUCAUGUCUUCUCCAGGGGCCAGGGGGGUCUCCUUAUAUAGUCCUCCCCUUCUAUGCGUUUUUGGGUCGAUAGGCGAGGUGGUACUAUGUUUUUCUUGAUCCAAUAGGUCGGUGGAGAUCUCCCGAGAGAAAGAGUCCUGAUUGGGCUCGGCAGGUGGGCGGGCGCCCACGUCCUGGCCCCGUUUCGCCUCCGCUUCAGUCUCGUGGCUUCUGGAGUCUUCUAGAUGGUAGAAAAUUGCACGGUGCGUUGAUAUCUCUAUGUAAUCCUGACAUGUGGGCCUUUCUUCCUUAUUUCCUGAUAACCCCCUGCAGAAAUAGACAAACACCAAAACUCGUGGAAUUCUGUCAGAUAAAACCCUAAGUCUAGAUGUUGAUUUCAUUUGGAUCCUUUUCUUUGUUUAUUUGAUAAUUAAAUUUGAUACUUAAGGACCGUCAACAAACUCCCCCAAGCUUACCUCUUGCUCGUCCCUGAGCAAGGAUAGACUCAGCAAUGGAUUAGAAGUUGUUGCAAAUAUCUUUAAAAAUUGACGGUACACAUGCUUUUUAAAUAAGAUCUCAUCUCUGAGUUAGAGUAAACUGUCAAGACUUAAAACUUACUUUACUUUCACCAUGGGACUUGUAACCGUCACUUCUGUCUUGAGAGGUUAAAAGAUAGAACAGUCUAGCCAAGUGCCAUGUCUCUUAUUCUUGAUCAGCUAUAGCUCUGGGGUUUUUUUGCAGAUUUUCAAAUAAAACUCAGAGAUUCCUUGUAUGACUCUCUCAUAUCUCUCUUUUGUGGUAUUUCUGGAUCCUUACCAAGGCAUUGAUGGUAUAUGCCUUCUCUCAAGAUAUGUGGUAUUUAUGGUAUAAGGCAUAGUGACAUUGCCUUCUCUCUCACCCUACUCUAAUAAGGCUUGAUAUCUGGAGCUCAUAGGUGGGAGACAGCUAAUACAUACUUACAAGACAUUUAUUGCAUAGUCAAACCAUAGAUCCAGAGAAACAAAUCAAUAAGCCAAAUCAAGAUGUGCAUGUGUGGCGAAUGAAUGGUGUAUGGUGAUGAUGGUAGUAACAAUAGUGAAAGUCUAAUUCUACUUUUGCUCUUUUGAGGGGAUACAUACCUUCCUUGCUUUUUGAAACUUUAUGAGGAGAAUGAGAUGCUCUUCUUUUUCUUUCCUCUCAGGUGGGUAUCUUGUACCCCUAAUUCUACUGUCGGACACUUGUCCAUUUUUACCCCUCGUCUCACUUUUUCUUUCUUUCGAGGUUCCGGGCACUUGCCCCUUUUUAUUUCCUCGUUUAUAUAUAUUUUUUUUCUCUUUUCUUUCUCUCUCUUUUUUUUAGAGCACUCAUCUCUUGAGAUAAUAUAGCAAGUGGUAGUAACCAAAAUAUUUGGAGCAUUUAUUUCACAGGGAAUAACAGGGAUAGGAAAAGUUUUUUGACUAUUCUCUUCCGGAUUAGGAGUAGAAUAUUUUUGGGUGAUUCUGGAGACGGAAAUGGAUGGAUAUAUGUGGAUGGUACUUCCGGAGUAGAAGUAGCAUAUAUGAGUGAACGUGCAAGUGAAUCUUGAUUUAACCACAAGACAAGCUCCUAAGGGUCUACACAGCUUGACCACACUCAACGCUCAUAAGCAGUAAAUAGUAAAUGUGUGGCUCAAAGUCUAGCAAGCAUGUAUAUAUGGCUGUGGUAGGAAUUUAAACUCUCAUCAUACAGGAACUCAUCAUGCAAUAUUUUAAAGAUUUUUCAAAGAUAAAAUUCUCCAGAAUUCUAGCAUCUCUAGGAACAGAUAAACAGCAGCUCAACCUUCCCAUAUCAUAUCCGUUAACAACUUAGAUUUCAUAUCAAGUUUUCAUCCCACAAGUUUAAAUCUAGAGCAAGCUUUAAAUUAUAUCAGUUAUGUCUAAACGUGAGAGGGAACUUCAAAAUUGCAAAUUAGGCAGAGCAACUCUUCAUCAUAUCCAUGCUAGAGUUUUAUUAUUAAGAUUCAGAUUAGCAUAGCCACUUUAUUUAUUUAUUAAACAUACUAAGCAAAAGAUAUAUAUAAGCAUAAAAUCUUUAUUUGGUUUUUUCAUAGUUUAUGUAUUUUAAUAUUCUAACAUAAUAUAAGUAUAAAGAUAGGUACAAAUACUUAGCGAGAUAAAUGGGGGUGCUCUCCCCCAAGCUGAAUUUUGACGUAAUUUCUCUUGAUGUAGCUAGCAGGUGGCAGAGGUGUAUUUGAAAGUCAGCAGCAUUCUGACAGCGAUUAGAAUGUCCUCCGUCUGCUAGUCUUCUUGAUUCUUAAAUUCUGAGGAGCUCAAAUAGACAACAAUGCUUGUGGAACUAAUUAAGUGUUAGCAUAAAUAUCUAGCCUUCAUCAUGUUGAGCUUCCUUAAUAAAUGUUAUUUAUUUAGCAGGAUCAUACACUUAUUAUUAUUAUUAUAUAUAUAUAUAUUUUUUUAUUGUAAGAUGAAAACUUAUUUAUUUUAUUUUUAUGCCACCACAGUUAAUGUACUUAUGGGUUUUAUGCCAUGAGCAUACUCACAUGGGCUUACUAUUUUUUUUAACAUUUUUAUUUUCUUUUCAAGAUAGCAUGAACCUGAUUAACUAAGCAAAUUAUAAUUGAAUAAUUGAAAGGAAAGGGUAACUACCAAGUUUACCUCUUGGCAAGGCGUUCGGUAUUUUUAUGUCCUCCGAACGGGACUCUCUGUUUUCUCAGUCAUCCUGGGAUUCGCUAGGUGGCGUAGUCGGUGAUUCCGGCGGCGCCUCUCUUCGUGUAUAACUAUCUUCUCCCUCCACACCUAACUCGGUGCUACGGUCUCUUCAGGACAGUUCUGUUCAAGCUGUAUGUCUUCAGUCCUUAUCACUUCUCCUUCGUAGUCUACCCAUCCGUUCUUGAUGAUUUGCCUCCUCUGGUUGCGUCGUCUUCUUGUCCUGACCUGCUUAGAGUCUUCAACUAUAUAGUUAUGGUCAGUAAAAUAGUUGCGUACCUUCUCAGAGGGGAAGUACAUGUGGACUUCUCCGGUUCCAAUGUAGAUGAUUGCUUUGAUAGUGUUGAGGAACGGUCUUCCAAGGAUGGUGGGUGGAUCAUAUUCGUCUUCUCCCAUGUCAAUGACCUGAAAAUCAUCUGGAGCUGAAUAUAUUGGUUGUAGGGGCAUGGUUCCAUGCAGGAGCUGAUAAGUGACUGUGGCCAUUAUGUUGUCGUCAGAUCCGGUGUCGUAGAGUGUCUUCUGAAAAGAGUAUCCAUUGAUUGCGCACUCGAUGCUUGGAACACCAGGGUCGUCCUUCUUGAUCAAGAAAGGUGACCUGAGUCGACGAUGUUGACCUCUUCCGACAAGGAUCCAAUGUUUUAAGUCUUCUGGAGAAGUCUUUCCACCAUCUUCAUCCUUUAGGUGCAUCAUUUAAUUAGGUGUGGACCUUGACGUCUGAAGCUCUUGAUACGGUGUUACCCAUGUUCUUCUUUGCCCAGCAGUUCGAAGUAUGGUGUUGGCAAUAUUCUGCUCAGUGUGUUUGUGCUCAUAGAUCCAGGUCCUUCACUUGGUGGAGUCUGGGAGUUGUAAAACUCCUCCAUGUUUUGCUUGAAGUGUACCUGUUCAUAGAGACAAGGCAGAGAUCAAGUGCAUGGGCUCUGUUGGUGGAAAACACCAACAUAACCAAAAGUGUAUUUGUUUUUCUCUAACCUUAAGCAUCGUGAGCAAGACAAAGUUGAUGGAUAAUAAGAUCAUGAGUGUAGUAUUUGAAACAUUUAUCAGAUCAGAUGGGUCAACCUAAUGGAAAGAUAAUCUAUCUAUAUUUAUGUUUUGUUUAUAUCUUCCAAAUAUUGAAUGUGCAACAUAUUAGCUUAUAUGUCUAGGAGCGUGGGAUCACGAAGGCAGUACUAAGAACAAAGAUUAAAGGACUAAACAUGUUGAAUUAAUUGAGUUGGUUAUCUGGAGUUAUAAAUCAUACAUGUUUGUCUCUUCAUUUAUGUGAAUGCUAGAACCAAGGAGAAGCUUAUAAAAGCGAUAGUCAAGUACCUUAAGGUGUUACCUUACUUGAAGAGUGACGGUACAGUAUCACCUUGUAGAAGCUUUCCUUUCUUAGCGGUUGUGCAUCGUGUUUGUGACACCCUCCAUGAAUCAUCUCUUAUGAGCCACGUCUUUCUUGUGCAAAUUGUUAAACUUCAUGUGUCACUUUCUUCAUCUCCAAUGCGAUUUUAUCUCAGGACAUCCCAGGUUGAUAUUGAAAGUUUUCCUGCAGGGGUUAGUCCAACAAAAUAUCCCAUAUCUACUAUAGCAUACUAUCGGCUUAAAAAUCAACCUAGACACCAUGUCUAAUUUGAUUUAGAAGGGCAUUUUAACCUAAGCACCAUGCUUAAUUUAAAAUCCCUUGGAAGUAAGAUCAUCAUUCCUAAACUAAGCACCAUGCUUAAUUAAGAGAUAAAUGAAACUAUUCCAAACCUAGACAUAUACUAAAGCAAAUAAAGGUAGCAUGAGAGCAUUUAUAGAGAUCUACUUAAGUGGAGAUAAAGUAGUGUAAUUAGUAUUUAACAAAUUGAGCAUGUCUCAAAGGUAAGGACAACCAACGUAGCAACAUGGCAAAAGAUGUUUUUAUGUAAAGUACUCCCCCAAGCUUGAAUUUUACAAAAUUCAAGUUUGGAUGAAUUUAAUUCAAUGUUGUGUGAUGGUUGGUUGGACAUACCCUGUGCUUGUCAUUCAUCCGAUCUUCAAAUCCUGGAAAGGUUAGUGACAAGAAUACCCGAAGGAAUAUUUCUACAAUUAUCUUUAUAUGCUCAAUACACAAGGCAAUGUUGCAAGUAAUUAGAAGUUCAUGUUAUGAUCUGAUAAGUGCUUGUUUUAGGACACUAAGCUUGUCCUUGGGAAACCAUCAAGUUAUGUCGGUGAAGUGGUUUCCCCUCCAACACCUACCUAUAUCAAGAUCAACUCAACGAGAUCUGCAAUAUUUAUUAUAGACGUAUGCAUCGACAACUGCCCUUUUAAAGUUUUUAUAAAUGAAGAGGAAGAGAGGGUUGGAGAUCUCAAAUGUGGUAAGGAUGGAGAGACAAAUUGAUUGGAGAGAUGUUUUAUAUGAGCAAGGACUGGGUGAGGUAUUUAUGAAAUAACUUCCAUGCUCACUGUUGUUUCUCUCAAACUCCAAGGAUGAUUCUUCAUGAAUGCUUAAAAUUCCUCUAGGAUUGUCUCUCAAGUUUGUUUUAUCUAACCAUUCAAUGGUGAUAGCACAUGGAUUUUUAAUGCCCUCUAGCCAUUGAUGUUGCUCUUCUCGAUCCUCCUUCUUAUGCAUGGGAUGUCUAGAGAGGUUCAUAGGAUUAUCGGGAGGUUCAAGAGAAAGAGCAUAGUAGAAAUUAUUAAGCUCAAGGAUGGGUUGGAUAGCCGAAUUAUGGGAUUGGAAUGUUUGGAAAUCGGCUAUUGAAACUUCCUCUCCUUGUAUGGGAGAUGAUUCCUUCUCUAUCUCUAAGAUUAUUCUAUGAAGACUAGUGCAAGAAGGAUGUCUACGAAUGAAGACAUACCUUCCUUUACUAAUAGAUAAAGAAAGAAAGACUCUACCAAAGGUUAUAUGAUUAAGACCAAUGUGAAAAUAUCUAGGAAAAACAUGGUCUUGUAGGGCUAGGUCUAAACCAGAAUUUAUAGAAAAAUUAAAAGAUUCCCUAGCUGUAGCUAAAAGUGCAUUAUCUUUUUGAUUAAAAGAUAGGACCUCAGCUAUAGAAAAGGGUUGGUUUUGACCUAUUGCAAUCAACUCCGGACACAGAUCAUAAUUAGGGGCAGGACGUGUUGACUCCCAUGGUCUAUGGCUGGUCUCCGAAGGUGCAAAGAAUUUAAUAAUAGGUAUGGAAUUUGAGUUAUCCAUAAAGAUAAAAAUAAAAAGAUAAAAGAAUAAAAGUAUAAAAGUAUAAUACAAGAUAAUAGCAAGACUCAAAGUUAUCAGAGCAAACCGUCUUUCUCCCCGGCAACGGCGCCAGAAAUGCUUGUUGAUAUUUGGUAACGCAAUAAGGAAACGAUCCGCAAGCGCACGGAUAUCGGUGAGCAUUUCACCCGGGAGGUUAUCCAGAGUUAUCGUAUUUAUAUUUUUACCACUGGGAGAAAGGGUGCAUCUGACUAACCAAAUCUAUUGCUACUAUCCCUUUAGGCACAAAGAAUGUUUUUCGAUGUGAGUGAUAAAUAGAGAAGACUGCAACCGUAGUCUCCUUCUAACCUUGGUAAGGAUGAUCUACUGUUCUAAUGGGGAGGCUAACGGAAUCUAGACACCACAAAGGAUGUUCAACCCGCACCUAUAAACCCUAUCCUUCCUGCUAACGAGAUGUGAUCUACAAAGGUAACUCGGAAUUGUCACGUUCCUCGCUACUACCACGGUCCAGCUAGUCAGGGAAUAUCUAUGAGUACCCCAGCCUAAACACCACGUUUACGCCAGCAAUGAUUACUCUAAACUCUACGCGAAGAGAUUAAAGUAAACUCAUAAACCAUAAGAACAAUAAAACAAGAACUUACUAGAAUUUAGAAGUCGAAAUACUGAAGAAUCCUAGGAGCAAGCUUCGGGUUAGGAGAACUUGAUCCCGCAGGUACAAGCUUGGAGUAGACACCGACAGGCCGGGCUUCCUCCAAUCAACACCUCCACUCUAUCUCUCUCAAUCUAGUAGAAACUAGAAGAUCUAUUUCUACCAUACAUUGGUUGCUAAGCCUAAAAAGAAAUAUUAAUUAGAGAAGAGGUUUUCCUUCGAGGGCACCCCUCAAUCUCUAUGAUAAUUUCUUCAUGUCUUCUCCAGGGGCCAGGGGGGUCUCCUUAUAUAGUCCUCCCCUUCUAUGCGUUUUUGGGUCGAUAGGCGAGGUGGUACUAUGUUUUUCUUGAUCCAAUAGGUCGGUGGAGAUCUCCCGAGAGAAAGAGUCCUGAUUGGGCUCGGCAGGUGGGCGGGCGCCCAGGUCCUGGCCCCGUUUCGCCUCCGCUUCAGUCUCGUGCCUUCUGGAGUCUUCUAGAUGGUAGAAAAUUGCGCGGUGCGUUGAUAUCUCUAUGUAAUCCUGACAUGUGGGCCUUUCUUCCUUAUUUCCUGAUAACCCCUGCAGAAAUAGACAAACACCAAAACUCGUGGAAUUCUGUCAGAUAAAACCCUAAGUCUAGAUAUUGAUUUCAUUUGGAUCCUUUUCUUUGUUUAUUUGAUAAUUAAAUUUGAUACUUAAGGACCGUCAACAGCUAGCAGGUGGCAGAGGUGUAUUUGAAAGUCAGCAGCAUUCUGACAGCGAUUAGAAUAUCCUCCGUCUGCCAGUCUUCUUAAAUUCUAUGGAGCUCAAAUAGACAACAAAGCUUGUGGAACUGAUUAAGUGUUAGCAUAAAUAUCUAGCCUUUAUCAUGUUGAGACUCCUUAACAACUAUUACUCCCUGUUUUUAUUUUCAUUUUUAUAAAGCAGAAAAAAUAUUUAUUUUAUUUUUAUGCCACCACAGUGAAUGUACUUAUGGGUUUUAUGCCACUCGUAUACUCACAUGGGGCUUACUGUUUUUCACACAUUUUUUUAUUUUCUUUUUAGGAUAGUACGAACAUGAUUAACUAAGUAAACUAGUUGAAAUAAUUGAAAGGAAAAGGAUAACUACCAAGUUUACCUCUUGCCAAGGCGUUCGGUGUUUUUAAGUCCUCCGAAUAGGACUCUCCAUUUUCUCAAUUGUCCUGAGGUUCGUUGGGUGGCGUAGUUGGUACUUCCGGCGGCGCCUCCUCUUCAUGUAUAGUUAUCUUCAUUUUCCAUACCUGACUCGGUGCUUCCGUCUCCUCUGGAUAAUUCUGUUUAAACUCUACGUCUUCUGACCUUACAACUUCUCCUUCAUAGUCUGCCCAUCCAUCCUUGAUGAUCUGCCUCCUCUGGUUGCGGUUGCGUCGUUUUCUUACCUGCUUAGAUUCUUCAACGAUAUAGUUAGGGUCAGUAAAAUAACGGCGUACCUUCUCUGAGGGGAAGUGCAUAUGGACUUCUCCGGUUCCAAUGUAGAUAAUUGCUUUAACAGUGCUGAGGAACGGUCUUCCAAGGAUGAUGGGUGGAUCAUAUUCGUCUUCUCCCAUGUCAAUAACCUGAAAGUCUAUGUAGACAAAGUGAUCGUCUAUUUUGACUGGGACAUCAGUUACUAUUCCUUUAACUUCUCGAAAUGUCUGAUCCGCCAUCUGGAGCUGAAUGUAUGUUGGUCUUAGUGGCAUGGUUCCGAACAAGAGCCGAUAGGUGACUGCGUCCAUUAUGUUGACGCCUGAUCCAGUGUCACAAGUUGCCUUGUAGAAGUUGUAUCCAUUUAUGGAGCAGUAGAUGCUUGGCAUUCCUGGGUCGUCCUUCUUGGUCAAAAGCGGUGACUUAAGUUGGUGAUCUUGGCCUCCAUGAACUCCAGUGACCAUCUUAGCUGACUCGGUCCACACUUGCUUGUUCCUGUUUUCCUGUUGGUCCUCUUCCUUGACUCACGUCUGGAUUGAUUUGGAAUUUGUGUAGUCUUGUUCUUGACGUAGAAACUGAUCUUGGCAGCUCUAGCGUAGAUGAUAGCUCCCGUGGUGUUCAAGAAUGGCCUCCCUAAGAUGAUGGGUGCUCUCUCAUCAUUUCCGGUCUCUACCACUAUGAAGUCUGCUGGGGCAUAUAAGAUACCAACUC